CGCCGCGUGAGUGAUGACGGUCUUCUGGAUUGUAAAGCUCUGUCUUUAGGGACGAUAAUGACGGUACCUAAGGAGGAAGCCACGGCUAACUACGUGCCAGCCGCCGCGGUAAUGUGCCAGCCGCCGCGGUAAU
rnacentral:rRNA from 1 species